rnacentral:sRNA from 1 species
CUUUGACUUUGUAAUCUGCUCCGCGCCGUUCUGUGGGCGCUCCUUCAAGAUGCUUGGAUCAAAAUCUCGAGGAGUCAAAUAAUCAAGUGUCUGAUCGCCUCCCCAAGCAUCUCCACCGCUUGCCUCCUCAUCUCCCUUCAUCUUCUUGUUCGCCCUCCUCAAACUACCCUCGGACGGGGCACUGUAUGGUCUCUUCAAGCUGUCUGCUCUCUGAAAGUGGUUGUGGCCUUGAUCCUGGUUUGGAUGACCAUCGUUAAACCGGUGGUUCCACAUCAACCCACUGGACCCGCCAGCCGUCACUGGUCUUUGUGGAUAUGGACCAGAGGGUGGUAAAGCAACUUGGCCUAGGGAUCCAAGAUACGGAAGAGGGUGGACAAAGACAAAAGGAUUUACAUGGUGCUGGAAAGGACUGGGGUUAAAAGACGCUGAAGGAAGUGGUCUGUCACGAAGAGUGUCAGCGUGGAACGCUUGUUUGUUCGGUUACGGAAAGAGAAGACUUGCGGGAAAGAGUUUGCUUUGGAAAAAUUGAUAUCGGGCCUGAAAGCAGCAGCGUUGGCGUCCUGCGCCUUUGCUCGAUUUGUUGAAUUAUGGGCAGCACCAAGCCUGUGUUGGGGAUAAUCAGUCGAUAGGGCAUCUCCCAAAGACUUUUUUUUUAUCGCGCCUCCUCAUUAACAACGAUCAACUGUCUUCAAAAGCAAACUUACCCGACCAUCCUGAGCAGCUUUGUUUUCAACUCUCGCCUCACCAUCAUCCGACUUUGGGCCGUGCAGGCCUUUUUGUGGUCGUGCAAGCGUGAUACAGGGGACAUUGUUCAGACUCGUAUCAGUACCGGAAGGAGGAGAGGUUUCUUUGGUGCUCGGGAUUUGGAUGAUGGGAACAUUGUUUGAGAUGUUUGAGAGCGAAGACAUGUUGGGCGGGUAAGGAUGGGUAGGAAGGGUGGCAAGUACUGUAUGUCCGGCGAAAGAUUGACUGGAGAGUUGGUUGAUUCGUUUAUCUGGACAGGUGGAGGGGGGAUACAAGGUACGUUCAGGAAGAGAAAGGGUUCUUGGGGCAUCAAAGAGUAAGGAAAGAAAAUGUUGAAUGGGGAAUAAGGAGGGAAAGAGGAUUAUGGUGGAGAAAGAAGAGAGGUGGAUGAAAGAAAACGAGAUACAAAUGGGGAAAUGGGUUAUUCAUAUAUCGAGAGAAACGCAUUCCCCCGAGGCCCGUGCGCAUAGUCCCUCCUCCUCCUUCUCUGUUCUGCGCUCAACAAGAAGGACAAUCACAUAAACAGCGAUAACAGAUGAUCUAGUACUAGACCAAAGUCUAUGACGAUGUAGCGUGAACCCGUUUUUUUCCAUUUCCUUUCCUGACCUCUUGUCCUCGGCUCUCACAGGCCGGCAGCAAGUAGCAGAGACGUGUGAGAGUCGUGAGAAAGGAGUACAGGCAGGGUCGCGCUUCGUAUGUGUGUAGUUUUUUUCAUCUUUGGACCCGGUUUAGACCUUGGUUGCGUAGGUCGUCUAGGAGGAUUGUUUUUGAUCACCAGAGCCUUUGAGCUAAGGUUAGACUCUCGCCUUUGUGGUUUGUUGAGGCGAUUAGAGGUGGUUCUGUGUAAGAGGGAAUGGGAGUUUUUGAAAUCAGUCGCGCGAUAGAAUUACUUAUUUGUCGCCCGUCCAGGAUUCCUCACAUUCACG